ensembl:lncRNA
AUCAUCUCUAAGCAUCAAUGAACAUGUCUGGAGAGAUGGCCUAGCAGUCUCAUGUAGAGCAGGCUGGCUCAUACUCACUAUGUAGAUGAAGAUCACUUGAGUUUUUGACCCUUCUACCUCCAACUCCUGAGUGCUGGGAUUACUGGUUUGAGCCACCAUGUUCUCUUUGAAGGUUUUCUUUUCUUUUUCCCAUUUAUUUAUUUAUUACGUAUACAGUGUUCUGCCUGCAUGCACGUUUGCAAGCCAGAAGAGGGCACCAGAUCUCAUUACAGAUGGUCGUGAGCCACCAUGUGCUUGAGUUCAGGACUGCUGGAAGGGCAACCAGUGCUCUUAACCUCUGAGCCAUCUUUCCAGCCCUGAGGUUUUCUUUUUUUAAAAUGUUUGGUUACUGGGGGCUCUUCUUAUUGCAUGUGAGUUUUAGAAUCAACUUUUCCACAUUUGUUAAAAAAGGUGUUGAAGGGUUGGGGUGAUGGUUCAGUAGGUAUACUGCUGCUUUGCAAGCAUGAAGACCAGAGUUGGGAUCCCCAGCAGCCACAUCAAUACUGGACAGCACCAAGCCUGCCUGCCUUCCUGCCUGCUGCCAUGAUCCCCAUAAUGACUACUGAACUGACCUGCUAGAGCUUGUGAAGGGACUGGGCCUGUGGAUCUCCAAGACUCGUGGCAGCCACAGGAUAUUCCAGAGGAGUUCCAGUGAGGAUCCAGUGGAGAUGGUGUACCAGAAACAAGAAGCCUUGAACCAGACCAGUGACUCAUUGCAAAGAUAGUUUUCCAGUAAGAUUGACAGGACAAAGAGGUAUGCUAUAUGGCACACUGAAGCCUCCAUUGCCACCAGGACCAAUGAAGAGGUGUUAGAGAGGCAGGAAAGAAGAGAAUGUUCCAUGAUAUUUCCUUUUCUGUUCACCUGGGUCUCCAGGGCUGCUUGGUUACCUGGACAGUGCAGCAACAGCGUGGAAGUGCAAGCAUCUCUGUGCCACUUGACUUGGAGUGACCAGUGCGGUGGCUGGGUCAUGUGGAAGCUCUCCAUUUAGUUUUGAAGAACUUCCAUGCUGAUGUCCAUAGUGGCUGCACAAGUUUGCAUUCAUUGUCUAACCAUUUCUUUUCCUCCAAUUCUCUCCAGUAGUUGUUGUCCUUUUUAUUUUUAUUUUGUUGUUGUUUGUUUUGAGACAUCUAUAACCUGGGAUGGACUGGCAUUUACUAUGUAGGUCCGGCUGACCUUGAACUCAUAUUCUUCUUGCCUCAGCCCUUCAAGUCCUGUGAUCAUAGCAUGGAUGCAACAAUACCCAUCACCUGUUUCCUCAAUGCGGUCUAUUCUGAAGGGAGUGAGAUACAUGCUUUAUGUACCAACCCCACAUCUGAUGGGUAUCUGUAGAGAGAUGCCCUCCUGGCCAUUUUCUAGGCUGAUGAUUGUUGUUAUCUUUGCUGUACAGAAGAGUCUUAAGUCUGUGCUACUGUGUACUUGACCCUGUGACUCCCAUCAGCCCUUGCUAAAGGCACUCCCGGCCUCCUUUGCAGGUGUACUGGAUAGGCUCCAGUGGUCAGAGACAGACCUCGGGAAGGAGGCACACUGCUUGCAGAUGAAAGCCACUGUGAGAGAGUGUGCUUUUGAGCUUCAUGUGAGCCUUUCAAGGUGUCUUUUCACUGGUGCUUCCAGACGGUGACCCAUUGUUUCAAUUUCUUUUUUAGAAAAAACAAAACAAAACCCCUCCCAACUUUCCAAAAGAAGGUUAAUGGGAUAAGGCACAUCUCCACUGCUUCAGGUCAAAGCUUUAUCUUCACUAUUCAACUCUCUUCAGCUUUGACCAGAAAUUGUUUUUCUCAUACAAUUCUUUUUUUGCUGAGAUACAUUCUAUACACCUUAGGGUGCCUCCCUACCUUUCCUUUUUGCAGUACUCGGGGUUGGUCCUGGGCCUCACAUGUGCCACUGAACCUCUUUCACUUAUUGAAAGUGUAUGCAGAGUUCCUACCCUACUACCCACUCCUGCAACCACCAAUUUACUCUCUCUGUCUAUCCUCUUAGUGUUGAGGAUUGAACCCAGGGCGUUUCACAUGUUACAUGAAUACUGUACCACUGAGUGGUAGUUAUUCUUUGUGGAUUUUUCUAUUUUGACAGUUCAUAUACCCAGAAUCAUAGGACGUGUGGCCUUUUCCAUCUGAUGCCUUACAUCCAGCUGAGGGUUUCCUUGACUCGUCUGUGUCAUGGCAUAUACUGCUACUCCAUUCUGUUUUAUAGUAGAA